rnacentral:lncRNA from 1 species
GGGCUGCCCCAUAAGUCCCCCCGCUGUGGGGCUGCCCCAUAAGUGCCCCAUAGGUCUGUUAGUUGUGGGGCUGCCCCAUAAGUGCCCCAUAGGUCUGUUAGUUAUGGGGCUGCCCCAUAGGGCCGCUGAUGCCCCCCGCCCCCCGCAGGGCCCCCCCCCCACUGCCGGAGCUGCAGCGCGAGCUGGAGGCGCUGACUCAGCAACUGGAGCGGCUGAGGGCGCAGGUGGGGGGCUGGGACCCACAAGUGGGGGGUGGGACCCACAAGUGUGGGUGGGGGGCUGUGGGACCCCUAUAUGUGGGUGGGGGGCUGUGGGACCCCCGGGUGUGGGGCUGGGGGACCCUGGGGUGUGGGGCUGGGGGACCCACAAGUUGGGGGUGGGACCCCCAUGUGUGGGUGUGGGGCUGUGGGACCCCCAAGUGUGGGGCUGGGACCCAUGGGUGUGGGGCUGGGGAGCCCACAAGUGUGGGCUGGGACCCCCAAGUGUGGGGUGGGACCCCCAAGUGUGGGUGAGGGGCUGUGGGACCCCCAAGUGUGGGGUGGGACCCCCAUGUGUGGAUGGGGGGCUGUGAGACCCCCAAGUGUGGGGCUGGGACCCCCAACUAUGGGGUGGGACCCCCAAGUGUGGGGCUGGGACCCCCAAGUGUGGGUGUGGGGCUGUGGGACCCCUAUGAACGCCCCCAGUCCGUCUAUGGGGCCGCCCCCCAACCACCCCCCCUUCCGCCCCACAGCGCCCCCCGGCGGCGCCCCCCCCCGCACCGCCGCCCCCCCGCGUCACGGCGGCGCUGCUGGCGGCUUUCGGGGCCGCUGAG